UGGCGGACGGGUGAGUAAUGUCUGGGAAACUGCCUGAUGGAGGGGGAUAACUACUGGAAACGGUAGCUAAUACCGCAUAACGUCGCAAGACCAAAGAGGGGGACCUUCGGGCCUCUUGCCAUCGGAUGUGCCCAGAUGGGAUUAGCUAGUAGGUGGGGUAACGGCUCACCUAGGCGACGAUCCCUAGCUGGUCUGAGAGGAUGACCAGCCACACUGGAACUGAGACACGGUCCAGACUCCUACGGGAGACAGCAUG
rnacentral:rRNA from 1 species